CAUGGUAAUGCUCUGCCAAACGAGCUCUAUAGUUUUGACCGGUCGACCUUGGUGGCGGAAAUACAUACAGACACGCGGAUCCAGUGCGCCAACCAGUGCCGUCUCCGCGCCUGCACUGCAUUCCUCUGGAAAUAUUCGACUGUAAGCGACGACCGGUGUUUUUCGGCGGAUUACUGGCAGUACUCCGGUACAUGGGCGCGGACUAAGGGCGGAAUAGCCUGUCAGCGCUGGGACAGCCAGUUUCCCCACGGUCACUCCUGGAACCCUUACUACAUCCCGGAUAGCUCGCUGACGGCAGCCCAAAAUUACUGCAGGGACGUUACUAAGUCAGGCUACCCCUGGUGCUACACUGUCAGAGGCGAUGUGAGGUGGGAAACGUGCAACCUCUAUAAAUGCUUCUUCAAUGACAAUAAUUGCCGACUGUACGGAGUCGCAGGGGGACAUCAGGAGAACGUGGACGGUCUUACCUAUAUGGUGAUGGCCUGAACCAUCGGGACGCUAUGAACUUCGAGAUGCUACAAGUGUAACGAUCCUUGGGAUAAUAAAACUUGCGGAUUUCUA